ACUCGAUGUGGUGGCACAUGCCUGUAGUCCCAGCUACUCAGGUGGCUGAGGCAGGAGGCUUGCUUGAGCCCAGGAAUUCUGGGCUAAGGUGCCCUAUGCUGAUCCGAUGUCUGCACUAAGUUCAGCAUUCAGCAUCAAUAUGGGGACCUCCCAGGAGAAGAAAAGCACCAGGUUGCCUAAGGAGGGGAUAACCCACCCAGGCUGGAAACAGCAGGUCAAAACUCUCAUGCUGAUAACAGUGGGAUCAUACUUGUGAAUAGCUACUGCAUUCCAGCCUGGGCAACAUAGCAAGACUCCAACUCU
ensembl:misc_RNA Metazoa_SRP Metazoan signal recognition particle RNA